AUUGAACGCUGGCGGCAUGCCUUACACAUGCAAGUCGAACGGCAGCAUGGGUGCUUGCACCUGAUGGCGAGUGGCGAACGGGUGAGUAAUGCAUCGGAACGUACCCGGAAGUGGGGGAUAACGUAGCGAAAGUUACGCUAAUACCGCAUAUUCUGUGAGCAGGAAAGUGGGGGAUCGCAAGACCUCGCGCUUCCGGAGCGGCCGAUGUCGGAUUAGCUAGUUGGCGGGGUAAAGGCCCACCAAGGCAACGAUCCGUAGCGGGUCUGAGAGGAUGAUCCGCCACACUGGGACUGAGACACGGCCCAGACUCCUACGGGAGGCAGCAGUGGGGAAUUUUGGACAAUGGGCGGAAGCCUGAUUCAGCCAUGCCGCGUGAGUGAAGAAGGCCUUCGGGUUGUAAAGCUCUUUCGGUGGGGAAGAAAUCGCACGGGCUAAUACCUCGUGUGGAUGACGGUACCCGCAUAAGAAGCACCGGCUAACUACGUGCCAGCCGCCGCCGUAACAC
rnacentral:rRNA from 1 species